rnacentral:rRNA from 1 species
UACAGAGGGUGCAAACGUUGUCCGGAAUUACUGGGCGUAAAGCGCGUGUAGGCGGCCAUCUAAGUCGGGCGUGAAAUCCCACGGCUCAACCGUGGAAGUGCACUCGAAACUGGAUGGCUAGAGUCCUGGAGAGGAAGGUGGAAUGCUUGGUGUAGAGGUGAAAUUCGUAGAUAUCAAGCGGAACACCGGUGGCGAAGGCGGCCUUCUGGACAGUGACUGACGCUGAGACGCGAAAGCGUGGGGAGCAAACAGG